AAAAGCAUGUGGUGGAUAGAUGUAUAGAGCAGCUUUGCAAAAUUCAAUAAAGGCAGGAGACUGUAUAGCGAAGGUUGGUUCCAGUCAUUUAUUCACAAAAACUCGGAUAGCCCCCCAGUGGGUGAGAGAUUAUGACGUCUGCCCACUGCUUCAUUUAUUUUCCCUUCCUGGAUUUUUAUGAAAAAUUAAACCCAUCCAAAGUUUCUGCAAAAUUACACCCACUUUUAUUUCAGACAUUCAACUUGGAACAACUGUUUUUUCACCCCCACAUCAUUUGUUAUCUCAUUCUAUAAUAAUUAGAUUUUGUUUUUCUUUAUAAUUCAGCGGCAUUAAGCUUAACUCUACACCCAUUUCCUACACUGAAGGUUUAACAGUUUUUCUUCACCACCUGCUUGCUUUAAUGCCGAACCUAAUUACAAGACUAAAAUGAUCCUUCCAUUCAAAAGAUUGUUGAGUGUUUUGGAGAUUAACAAACACUCGUAUAUUUAGAUUUUUUUUUUUUCUUUCCACGACUGGAGAAGUUGCUGCCUGAUGAUGAUUGAGUUCAGUGAGUUGCACCUAAGAAAAUAAAAGUGGACAUAACUCUCUAGUGGUAACCACACAGCCUUCACACUUAGAAUUACACUUGGGAACUGUUUGCCCCUCUUGUCCCAUCUAUGACCUUCCCAACCACCAAGUAUCUCACACCACAAGAACCCCCAGAACUGAACCACUCGAGCCGAACCAAGAACAUGUCCAGACCCACAUUCUACAUUCUGGCGCUCCUUUUCCUUCAUACCCAUCUCGCAAUUUGCAAUGGGGUUUCAGUUUCAGGCCUGGAAAACACUGAGAUUGAUGCCAUGGUGAGGAGGGGUUGCACCAACAAGAGUGGAGGCUGCUUUGAAGAUGCAGAGAUGGAGUCAGAGAUCAGCAGGAGAGUUCUUUUGCUGCAGAAGAAGUACAUAAGCUAUGAGACACUGAAGAGGGACAUGGUUCCAUGCGCUAAACCAGGUGCAUCUUACUAUGAUUGUCAUGCUGGAGAGGCUAAUCCUUACAGCAGAGGCUGUGAGGUCAUUACAAGUUUUCAUUGAAUCAAAGCAUAAUGAUAAUAAUAACAGAAGAGGAGUUGGGCUUGGUGACAACAGAAGAUGAGACAUGACCAACUAAGUUAGGCCCAAGACGGAGUUGAUGAGUUGGACUUGCAAAAAGCUGCAGUCUUUCAGUUUGUUGGACAUUAUUUCAAUCUUCUAAAAGAAAAACCAUCACAAGUACUUAGCCUCCCGUUACAAAAACACAGAGACACUGGACGGACAAAGAAACAAAUCCACGGCCUUGGAGUUAUCGUAGCUUUCACUGAACAAAUACCCGUGAGGCUGCAGUGAGCAUAUGAAGCCAAGAGGAGAGGGGCGGCCACUGCUCUACCUUUGCAUCUCCAAGCCCCAUCUGCAGUCGCUAUUAUUUUGAGUCCCGUGAUAGGACAGGACAGGGAGGAGGUCAGUCAACAUAUAUAUUUUUAUGAAUUUAUUAUUUGAUAUAAUAUUAUAUAACUAAAUUUAUUGAAAU